rnacentral:lncRNA from 1 species
GCUUUGUCCCUUAAGCUUAGGUGGUUGCUCUUUUCCUGAUGAGUCUACUUUAUCCUAAAGUUAGUAAACUUGCUUUGCCACUGGCCCUUUCAAACUAGGGGUGAUAAAAAUCACUCUAACCAAAGGUUACUGCAGUCUCUUGUGUUCUUUCUCAUCCCUUCAACAGCUUUGCAAAGAAUCUCCAAACCCUCUCUGCAUUAUCCUUAUUAAAUUGCACUAUCAGUUUCUUUAUAUGACCCCAACAAAUACAUGAAUCUCCUAGUUAGGGAAGCUGAUAGACUAAGAGUACUUUUCUUUCAUGUUCAAAGCUAGAAGGUAAGUAUUUUCUAAUAAUGUGAAGCAGCUGAAAUGACAAUUUGGGUUAGAGCUGUGCUGUGGACUACAGCUAUUUGAAAGUACAGUUUUAUUUUUAUGACAGUUUGCUCUCUGCUGUCUGGGAUAUUUACAUUUUCCUUUCCUAUGGAGAAGGUCAGAGUAUGAUUGAUUCAACAUUAAAAAUAACUUUUGAUUGUUUAAAGUGAGGAUGUUCUAAACAAUAAUAUUUGUGAAGUCCUCUAUUUUGAUAUUUUUCACUUAAGAUCAGUGAUUUAGAAAUCAAGUGAAAAUCUUGUUACCAUUUGAAUGAACAUACUGAUAUUAAUAAAAUGAUGAGUAUUUUACAUGAUCAUCCAAGUUAGAUUUUGACAGAAUGCCUAGGGUCUUGGAGUAACCAGCUUUUGGCAAUUCCUGGCUCUCUUUUUCAUAUUCAAAUUUGUAAAGAAAGUAGAGAAGAGUAAAUGUGUGUAGGUGUCUUCCUCCUGGAAGUAGGCACAAACUGCAUGGAAAACCAACCAAAAAAUGGUAACAGAAAAAUAUGAUAAUAAUUUAUUUAAAAAUAAAAUUCUUAGACUUUGUCAUAACUAAAAGACUAUCUAGAAUUGUGAGUGAAGUAAGGACCCCAAAUAAAGACGCAUUUCUAAUUCUUAUAUUUCUGGCCCAUGCGGCAAAUAUUGGGUAUGCUAGGUGGAAGAAAAGGUGUUCAAUAUAUAACAUCCUCUUCCAUAUCUCAGUUUUGAUUCUAUUAAAAUUAAUACAAGGAAUAUAGCAGAAUACUGAGAAACAAACACAUUUAGUCUGAUAUAGGGGAUGCAGAUGAACUUGAUUUAUAUUCAUGGCAGUUGAGCCUUCUAAUAUUGAAUUCCAGAGUUAGUGCAGAAACAAAGAAUGUGUGCUUUCUGUGAGUGAUUCCUAAAUAAAAAGAACAGAGGCAUAUGUUUUUAACAAGUACUUAUGUGGGAUUCAUAAAAUUAAUUUUUAUAUUAUCCUCUCCCCUAUCAACAAAUUGUUAGGGACACCAUGUCCAUGUUUUAAAUGUUUAUUAAAAUUGCAUUGUAUUUUAAUCUCAACAAUAUCAAUAUAGAUUUAAUCCUCAGUCAUGUAUAUCAACUUUUGUGAAAAUUAAUUUUAUUUUCUUUCACUGGCAUAAGUUUAAUAGUUAUUCAAAAAAAAAAAAAAA